rnacentral:rRNA from 1 species
CAGUAGCCACGGUAAUACGGAGGAUCCAAGCGUUAUCCGGAAUCAUUGGGUUUAAAGGGUCCGUAGGCGGUCUUGUAAGUCAGUGGUGAAAGCCCAUCGCUCAACGGUGGAACGGCCAUUGAUACUGCAGGACUUGAAUUAUUGGGAAGUAACUAGAAUAUGUAGUGUAGCGGUGAAAUGCUUAGAGAUUACAUGGAAUACCAAUUGCGAAGGCAGGUUACUACCAAUUGAUUGACGCUGAUGGACUAAAGCGUGGGUAGCGAACAGGAUUAGAUACCCCUGUAGUCCCUGUCUCUUAUAC